AAGUGAACAACUAACAAGAGUCGGAAAGCAAAUUAAAAAAUUUAAAACAACACAAGCAAAAAUUAAUGGAGAAUGUAUAGUUUUUUAAUAAGAAAGCCUGCAGCCAAUAAUGAUAGUAAUGAAUUAUCAUCUGAAAGCGGCGAUGAAAGCUGUGGAGCUACAAAAAAUCCCAAAAGAAACUUCCGCACAGUCUGGCUGGAUGAAUUUGCAUGGCUUCGAAACAGAGAUGGGUGUGGCUUUUGUGUAGCAUGUGAUAAAAAGCUUAACAAUCAUGUGAGUUAUUUAAGAAUACAUGGAUCUUUACGCAUUCACAUUCUAAAUGUUGAGAGGAAAAAAAAUCAAAUUAAAAUAAAUACCUUUGGAAAUCCUCAAAAAGUAAGCAAGUUCAUCAUGCGGAACUCGCAUUAGUAAUGUUUUUAGUCGACCACAACUUACCAUUUUUACUAAUGGACUAUUUACCCAGUUUGUUGGUAGAAUGCUGUCCCGACUCAAAAAUUGCAAGGUCAGUAAAAUGUGGCAGAUCAAAAUCAACACAGCUAACAGAAACGUUAGCAAAUAAAGCUAAAAAUGACAUUAUCUCCAAAAUAAAAGCUACAAAAUUUUCAUUAAUAGUAGAUGAAACGACGGACGUAUCUACAAAAAAGUCACUGGUUUUAGUUGUAAGAUACAUGGACAAACUUUCGCGAAAUAUUCAUGACAGAUUUUUAGCACUUAUAGAAGUUAAAAACUCAGACACCAAAUCUUUAUAUGCCACUAUAAAAGAUUUUUUAAAAAGCCACGACAUACCUCUACAAAAUGUUAUUGGUUUAGCAACCGAUGGAGCCAACGUAAUGGCAGGAGAAGCUAAUGGGUUGCAAGCUAAAUUUAAAGAUGAUGUCGAAAUAUUUUUCAUAAAGUGCACUUGUCAUUCACUACAUCUUUGUUCAGCAUAUGCUUGCAAAAAGCUUCCUACAACGAUUGAAACAUUGUGCCGAAAUAUUUAUAACCUUUUCUCACAUAGUCCGAAACGAAUUCAAGAAUUUAAGGAAUUCCAGGACUAUUGCCACGUCGAACCACAUAAAAUAUUAGGGAUUUCCAUGACCCGUUGGCUGGCACUAGAAACGGUUAUUAAUCGUAUUAUUGAACAGUGGUCAGCUCUGAAAUUAUAUUUCAUAUCGUUUUAUUUGGAAGUAAAUGGAAUAAAGGAGUGCGAGAUUGGAGAUGUAAUGGGUGACCCUUGCAUAAAAGUAUAUUUUUUGUUUCUAUCCUAUAUUUUAAAUAUAAUAAAUAAUUUGAACAAAGAGUUUCAAUCGGAAAGAGUGAGGCUACCGUAUGUUUACUGUCAACUGGAAUUAAAUUUUAAAUUAAUUUUGAGCAACUUUACUAAAUGCGCUUUUGUAAAAAGUUUAGAUACAUUAGAGUCAGUAAAUUUGUUAGACGAAAGUAAUUACUUGAAUAUAGAAAAUAUUUUUAUAGGCAGAAAAGCUGAGCUAUGUUUGCAAGAAUCAGAAUUAUCGGAUGUAAAAAAAUAUGAAAUUAAAAAAAAUAUUCAAUCAUUUUAUUUAGAAAUUUUAAGUGAAAUUGCAAAACGUUUUGAUUUUUCAAGAAAAGACUUAAAACAUCUUUCUACAAUAACACCACACAAUGUUUUAAAAUCAACAGAAAUUUCAAUUGAACCACUAUUAACAUGUUUUCCAAAUUUAACCAACGGCAACGAAGAAAAAAUUUCAACACAAUGGAAAUUAUUAAGAUUUUCUAACAUUGGCCUCAAAAGUGACAUGGAUAUAGCGAGUUUUGGAACAAAGUCCUAAGCUAUAAAAAUGGAAUGGAAGAAAAUUGUUUUGAAGAAUUAGUUGAUUUUGUAUUUAAUGUAAUGUCAUUGCCACAUAGCUCAGCAGCUGCUGAAAGAAAAUUUUCUCAGCUAAAUUUAAUAAAAACUAAAUUUCGCAAUAAACUUGAUUUUAAAACAAUUAAUAACAUAAUGCAGUCAAAAGAAUUGCUCCAAAAUAAAAAUGAUCCGCAUUAUGUAUGGUCUGCCAAAGGCAUGCCUGAAAUUUUAAAUAAUUUUCUGAAAUUUUAAAUAAUUUUCAGUUACACAAAAAAUAAAACAGAAAAAAUAGUUUUUGAAAUUAAAUAUGCAUAAAUUGAUAAUUAUACCAAAAUUAAAUCUGUUAUCAAAAAUAUAUUAUUAACCGAUUUUGUUUCUAUAUUAUCUUAAUAUUUUAUAAAU